UACGUAGGGGGCAAGCGUUGUCCGGAAUUAUUGGGCGUAAAGAGCGUGUAGGCGGUCCGGUAAGUCAGCUGUGAAAGUCAAGGGCUCAACCCUUGAAUGCCGGUUGAUACUGUCGGGCUAGAGUCCGGAAGAGGCGAGUGGAAUUCCCGGUGUAGCGGUGAAAUGCGCAGAUAUCGGGAGGAACACCAAUGGCGAAGGCAGCUCGCUGGGACGGUACUGACGCCGAGACGCGAAAGCGUGGGGAGCAAACAGG
rnacentral:rRNA from 1 species